AACGAACGCUGGCGGCAUGCCUAACACAUGCAAGUCGAACGGUCACUUCGGUGAUAGUGGCGCACGGGUGCGUAACGCGUGGGAAUCUACCCUUGGGUUCGGAAUAACUCUCCGAAAGGAGUGCUAAUACCGGAUGAUGACGUAAGUCCAAAGAUUUAUCGCCCAAGGAUGAGCCCGCGUAGGAUUAGCUAGUUGGUGAGGUAAAGGCUCACCAAGGCGACGAUCCUUAGCUGGUCUGAGAGGAUGAUCAGCCACACUGGGACUGAGACACGGCCCAGACUCCUACGGGAGGCAGCAGUGGGGAAUAUUGGACAAUGGGCGAAAGCCUGAUCCAGCAAUGCCGCGUGAGUGAUGAAGGCCUUAGGGUUGUAAAGCUCUUUUACCCGGGAUGAUAAUGACAGUACCGGGAGAAUAAGCUCCGGCUAACUCCGUGCCAGCCGCCGCGGUAACAC
rnacentral:rRNA from 1 species